AGACGGGGAGCUUGGAAACGCCAGGCUGAGAAAGUGGUCAUUUACCACUGACCCUAGACCUGAUCUGGGUAAUGCCAGCGGAGGGAAAAUAG
rnacentral:ncRNA from 1 species